UUAAGCGACUAAGCGUACACGGUGGAUGCCCUGGCAGUCAGAGGCGAUGAAGGACGUGCUAAUCUGCGAAAAGCGUCGGUAAGGUGAUAUGAACCGUUAUAACCGGCGAUGUCCGAAUGGGGAAACCCAGUGCAAUUCGUUGCACUAUCGUUAACUGAAUACAUAGGUUAACGAGGCGAACCGGGGGAACUGAAACAUCUAAGUACCCCGAGGAAAAGAAAUCAACCGAGAUUCCCCCAGUAGCGGCGAGCGAACGGGGAGCAGCCCAGAGUCUGAAUCAGCUUGUGUGUUAGUGGAACGGUCUGGAAAGUCCGACGGUACAGGGUGAUAGUCCCGUACACCAAAAUGCACAGGUUGUGAACUCGAAGAGUAGGGCGGGACACGUGGUAUCCUGUCUGAAUAUGGGGGGACCAUCCUCCAAGGCUAAAUACUCCUGACUGACCGAUAGUGAACCAGUACCGUGAGGGAAAGGCGAAAAGAACCCCGGCGAGGGGAGUGAAAAAGAACCUGAAACCGUGUACGUACAAGCAGUGGGAGCACCUUCGGGUGUGACUGCGUACCUUUUGUAUAAUGGGUCAGCGACUUAUAUUCUGUAGCAAGGUUAACCGUAUAGGGGAGCCGCAGGGAAACCGAGUCUUAACUGGGCGUUAAGUUGCAGGGUAUAGACCCGAAACCCGGUGAUCUAGCCAUGGGCAGGUUGAAGGUUGGGUAACACUAACUGGAGGACCGAACCGACUAAUGUUGAAAAAUUAGCGGAUGACUUGUGGCUGGGGGUGAAAGGCCAAUCAAACCGGGAGAUAGCUGGUUCUCCCCGAAAGCUAUUUAGGUAGCGCCUCGUGAAUUCAUCUUCGGGGGUAGAGCACUGUUUCGGCUAGGGGGUCAUCCCGACUUACCAACCCGAUGCAAACUACGAAUACCGAAGAAUGUUAUCACGGGAGACACACGGCGGGUGCUAACGUCCGUCGUGAAGAGGGAAACAACCCAGACCGCCAGCUAAGGUCCCAAAGUCAUGGUUAAGUGGGAAACGAUGUGGGAAGGCACAGACAGCCAGGAUGUUGGCUUAGAAGCAGCCAUCAUUUAAAGAAAGCGUAAUAGCUCACUGGUCGAGUCGGCCUGCGCGGAAGAUGUAACGGGGCUAAACCAUGCACCGAAGCUGCGGCAGCGACACUAUGUGUUGUUGGGUAGGGGAGCGUUCUGUAAGCCUGCGAAGGUGACCUGUGAGGGUUGCUGGAGGUAUCAGAAGUGCGAAUGCUGACAUAAGUAACGAUAAAGCGGGUGAAAAGCCCGCUCGCCGGAAGACCAAGGGUUCCUGUCCAACGUUAAUCGGGGCAGGGUGAGUCGACCCCUAAGGCGAGGCCGAAAGGCGUAGUCGAUGGGAAACAGGUUAAUAUUCCUGUACUUGGUGUUACUGCGAAGGGGGGACGGAGAAGGCUAUGUUAGCCGGGCGACGGUUGUCCCGGUUUAAGCAUGUAGGCUGGUUGUCCAGGCAAAUCCGGAUAAUCAAGGCUGAGGUGUGAUGACGAGGCACUACGGUGCUGAAGUAACAAAUGCCCUGCUUCCAGGAAAAGCCUCUAAGCAUCAGGUAACAUCAAAUCGUACCCCAAACCGACACAGGUGGUCAGGUAGAGAAUACCAAGGCGCUUGAGAGAACUCGGGUGAAGGAACUAGGCAAAAUGGUGCCGUAACUUCGGGAGAAGGCACGCUGGUGUGUAGGUGAAGUCCCUGCGGAUGGAGCUGAGACCAGUCGAAGAUACCAGCUGGCUGCAACUGUUUAUUAAAAACACAGCACUGUGCAAACACGAAAGUGGACGUAUACGGUGUGACGCCUGCCCGGUGCCGGAAGGUUAAUUGAUGGGGUUAUCCGUAAGGAGAAGCUCUUGAUCGAAGCCCCGGUAAACGGCGGCCGUAACUAUAACGGUCCUAAGGUAGCGAAAUUCCUUGUCGGGUAAGUUCCGACCUGCACGAAUGGCGUAAUGAUGGCCAGGCUGUCUCCACCCGAGACUCAGUGAAAUUGAACUCGCUGUGAAGAUGCAGUGUACCCGCGGCAAGACGGAAAGACCCCGUGAACCUUUACUAUAGCUUGACACUGAACAUUGAGCCUUGAUGUGUAGGAUAGGUGGGAGGCUUUGAAGCGUGGACGCCAGUCUGCGUGGAGCCAACCUUGAAAUACCACCCUUUAAUGUUUGAUGUUCUAACGUUGGCCCCUUAUCGGGGUUGCGGACAGUGUCUGGUGGGUAGUUUGACUGGGGCGGUCUCCUCCCAAAGCGUAACGGAGGAGCACGAAGGUUAGCUAAUCCUGGUCGGACAUCAGGAGGUUAGUGCAAUGGCAUAAGCUAGCUUGACUGCGAGCGUGACGGCGCGAGCAGGUGCGAAAGCAGGUCAUAGUGAUCCGGUGGUUCUGAAUGGAAGGGCCAUCGCUCAACGGAUAAAAGGUACUCCGGGGAUAACAGGCUGAUACCGCCCAAGAGUUCAUAUCGACGGCGGUGUUUGGCACCUCGAUGUCGGCUCAUCACAUCCUGGGGCUGAAGUAGGUCCCAAGGGUAUGGCUGUUCGCCAUUUAAAGUGGUACGCGAGCUGGGUUUAGAACGUCGUGAGACAGUUCGGUCCCUAUCUGCCGUGGGCGCUGGAGAAUUGAGGGGGGCUGCUCCUAGUACGAGAGGACCGGAGUGGACGCAUCACUGGUGUUCGGGUUGUCAUGCCAAUGGCACUGCCCGGUAGCUAAAUGCGGAAGAGAUAAGUGCUGAAAGCAUCUAAGCACGAAACUUGCCCCGAGAUGAGUUCUCCCUGAGACUUUAAGUCUCCUGAAGGAACGUUAAAGACGAUGACGUUGAUAGGCCGGGUGUGUAAGCGCAGCGAUGCGUUGAGCUAACCGGUACUAAUGAACCGUGAGGCUUAACCUU
rnacentral:rRNA from 2 species